rnacentral:rRNA from 1 species
UACGUAGGGGGCAAGCGUUGUCCGGAUUUAUUGGGCGUAAAGAGCGUGUAGGCGGCCACACAGGUCUGCUGUGAAAACUCGAGGCUCAACCUCGAGAUGUCGGCGGAAACCGUGUGGCUAGAGUCCGGAGGAGGAGAGUGGAAUUCCUGGUGUAGCGGUGAAAUGCGCAGAUAUCAGGAAGAACACCUAUGGCGAAGGCAGCUCUCUGGGACGGUACUGACGCUGAGACGCGAAAGCGUGGGGAGCGAACAGG